UACAGGGGGGCAAGCGUUGUUCGGAAUUACUGGGCGUAAAGGGUUCGUAGGUGGCCAACUUAGUCAGACGUGAAAUCCCUCAGCUUAACUGGGGAACUGCGUCUGAUACUGGAUGGCUUGAGUGCAGGAGAGGAACGCGGAAUUCCAGGUGUAGCGGUGAAAUGCGUAGAUAUCUGGAGGAACACCGGUGGCGAAGGCGGCGUUCUGGACUGCAACUGACACUGAGGAACGAAAGUGUGGGGAUCAAACAGG
rnacentral:rRNA from 1 species